rnacentral:rRNA from 1 species
AUGAACGCUGGCGGCGCGCCUAAUACAUGCAAGUCGAGCGAGAAGACGUAGCAAUACGUUUGUAAAGCGGCGAACGGGUGAGGAAUACAUGGGUAACCUACCCUCGAGUGGGGAAUAACUAGCCGAAAGGUUAGCUAAUACCGCGUACGCUUCUUGGACUUCGGUUCAGGGAGGAAAGCGAUGCCGAGGGUAUCGCGCUCUUGGAUGGGCUCAUGUCCUAUCAGCUUGUUGGUGAGGUAACGGCUCACCAAGGCUUCGACGGGUAGCUGGUCUGAGAGGACGAUCAGCCACACUGGCACUGCGACACGGGCCAGACUCCUACGGGAGGCAGCAGUGGGGAAUCUUGCGCAAUGGGCGAAAGCCUGACGCAGCGACGCCGCGUGAGGGAUGACGGCC